GGGGCAUUAGCUCAGCUGGGAGAGCGCUACACUGGCAGUGUAGAGGUCAGCGGUUCGAACCCGCUAUGCUCCAC
rnacentral:tRNA from 1 species